rnacentral:rRNA from 1 species
UACAGAGGGUGCGAGCGUUAAUCGGAAUUACUGGGCGUAAAGCGCGCGUAGACGGCUUUGUAAGUCGGAUGUGAAAUCCCCGGGCUCAACCUGGGAACUGCAUUCGAAACUGUCGAGCUAGAGUAUGGUAGAGGGUGGUGGAAUUUCCUGUGUAGCGGUGAAAUGCGUAGAUAUAGGAAGGAACACCAGUGGCGAAGGCGACCACCUGGACUGAUACUGACACUGAGGUGCGAAAGCGUGGGGAGCAAACAGG